AAACAUAUUUGGAAUUACUUCAGAGAUAUCUUGUAGCUAACCUGUUAGACCGUGUGCACUUAUGUAAUUUGAAAUUUGCUUUCUUUCCUAGAAUGGAAUCUAUAGAGAAAAUGGAGUCUGAUUUUAAGAAUUGCCAUAUGUUUCUUGUAACCAUUUUAAACAAAGCUGUCUGCAGAGGAUCUUUUCCCCAUUUGGAAUCUCUGGCACUGUCACUCAUGGCUGGCAUGGAACAGAAUUAAAUGUCUGCACUGUACCAUACCUGAAACUUCAUCUUCACACACGAACAUUUCUAGCAUAUGCAGCUGAAAAGGAGAAUCUUUAUUUUGGGUUCAUUUUUUUUUUUUUGGACCAGGGAUCGAACUCGGGACCUUGUGCUUGCAAAGCAAGCGGAGGAAUCACUGAGCUAAAUACCCAGCCCUAUUUUGGUUCAUUUUUAAAACUGUUGUUAACAGACAAAUAGUCUGUGUUUUUUCUGGAAAGUAUAUAGAGUUGUGUAAAUAAGAUUGUGUAAAUAAUGUAAGGUAUACAUAGGCUAUUUACUCUUAUAUUUCCUGCUAUAAGCUGUAGAUUUAUGAUAUUGUACCCUUAAAUAAAAAUUAUGUAUCUUUAGAAAAUGUAAUUAUUGAUAUUAAAAGUAAGUCAAUACUUUG